rnacentral:rRNA from 1 species
UACGGAGGGUGCAAGCGUUAUCCGGAUUCACUGGGUUUAGAGGGUGCGUAGGUGGGCAGGUAAGUCAGUGGUGAAAUCUUUGGGCUUAACCCGAAAACUGCCAUUGAUACUAUUUGUCUUGAAUAUUGUGGAGGUCAGCGGAAUAUGUCAUGUAGCGGUGAAAUGCUUAGAUAUGACAUAGAACACCAAUUGCGAAGGCAGCUGACUACAGGGGCAUUGACACUGAGGCACGAAAGCGUGGGGAUCAAACAGG